rnacentral:SRP_RNA from 1 species
CCAUGCUAACCGGGGAGACAGCGGCACCUUGUAACCUGAAAUCCGCUAUAGCAGGGGGUAAUUCCUUCGAUGAGGAAUACAAAUGUGUAGCUGCUCUUAUUUAAGGGCGUUGACGAAUGGGUCUUGCGCAAUUGAAUCCUGUGAAUCAUGUCAGGUGGGGAACCAAGCAGCAUUAAGCAGUUCGUUCAAUGUGCCGCAAGGUCGCCUGUUCUGAGUCUGGAGAUAGGAUAACGGACAUGUUUGUAUAUUCGAGUCAAGGUGCAUGG